rnacentral:tRNA from 1 species
GGAGGGAUGCUCGAGUGGUUGAAGAGGCACGCCUGGAAAGCGUGUAUACGCCAAAAGCGUAUCGCGGGUUCGAAUCCCGCUCCCUCCGCCA